rnacentral:rRNA from 1 species
GACGAACGCUGGCGGCGUGCUUAACACAUGCAAGUCGAACGGAAAGGCCCUGCUUUUGUGGGGUGCUCGAGUGGCGCACGGGUGAGUAACACGGGAGUCACCUUCCCUUUACUUUGUGAUAACUUCAGGCAACUGGGGCUACUACCGGAUAGGAGCUCCUGCUGCAUGGUGGGGGUUGGAAAUUUUCGGCGGUUGGGGAUGGACUCGCGGCUUAUCCGCUUGUUGGUGGGGUAGUGGCUUACCAAGGCUUUGACGGGUAGCCGGCAUGGGAGGGUGAACGGCCACAUUGGGACUGAGAGAGGGAGCAGACUCGUACGGGAGGCAGCAGUGGGGAAUAUGGCACAAUGGGGGGAAGCGUGAUGAAGAAACGCAGCGAGCGGGAUGAAGGCCAUGGGGUGGUAAACCGCUUUAGCUUGUGACGAAGCGUGAGUGACGGUAAUGGGUAAAGAAGCACCGGCUAACUACGUG